rnacentral:rRNA from 1 species
UACGGGGGGGGCAAGCGUUGUUCGGAAUUACUGGGCGUAAAGGGCUCGUAGGCGGCCAACUAAGUCAGACGUGAAAUCCCCAGCUCAACCUGGGAACUGCGUCUGAUACUGGAUGGCUUGAAUCCGGGAGAGGGAUGCAGAAUUCCAGGUGUAGCGGUGAAAUGCGUAGAUAUCUGGAGGAAUACCGGUGGCGAAGGCGGCAUCCUGGACCGGCAUUGACGCUGAGGAGCGAAAGCUAAGGGGAGCAAACGGGG